AUACGGAGGAUGCGAGCGUUAUCCGGAUUUAUUGGGUUUAAAGGGUGCGUAGGCGGAAAGUUAAGUCAGCGGUGAAACGCAGGUGCUCAACACCUGACCUGCCGUUGAGACUGGUUUUCUAGAAUGCGGAUGCUGUGGGCGGAAUGUGUGGUGUAGCGGUGAAAUGCAUAGAUAUCACACAGAACACCGAUUGCGAAGGCAUCUCACAAAUCCGCGAUUGACGCUGAGGCACGAAGGUGCGGGGAUCGAACAGGAUUAGAUACCCUGGUAGUCCGCACAGUAAACGAUGAUAACUCGCUGUCGGCGAUAGACAGUCGGUGGCCAAGCGAAAGCGAUAAGUUAUCCACCUGGGGAGUACGACCGCAAGGUUGAAACUCAAAGGAAUUGACGGGG
rnacentral:rRNA from 1 species